UAAUCUAUGAUCAAGGGCUAGGACAGCACAAGUAAGAAGGCAUAGUUUGGUAGGUCCCCCCGACUUAGACAUAGUAUGAGCUACAUUCACCCCUUCUUCCCCAGCUUUGCCCAUGGUGGAUGUUGGGAAGGAUGGAGACAUGUCUCUAAGAUCUUAGCAACAGCAAGAUCAUCCAGGACUGCCAAGCUGGGAACUGCCCUUAGCAAAGAACCAGCUGCUUGGACACUAAGUUAAAAUGGAGCUCAGAGGUUUAUACAACAGUGGCCUUUACACCUAAGAUUGAAGUUAUGGAUGGAGUUGUGCUUCUACGAAUUCUGCUUCUAACCGUGGAUAUUCUUGAAAAUUCCCCACCUGCCCUGAGGUUUGUCAGAUUCCACAAGAUACUGUGAAUCUGCAGCCUCAUUAUGGAAGUGACCUGUAGAUUCUUUCACACCUGGGCUCCUUCUCUCUUCUCUGUGUGGGCUCUAUACAGUGUGGUUCGUCAAGGUUGUAAGCGAAAAGCUCUUUGACCUGAACAUUUCUAUCGCAUGAAUCUGAGAGAGUCUCCAGGCCUUCAACACAAAUGAGUUCACAAACAACACAGUACUAGAAAGAAAGGAAUUUUACAAGCACCCUGAGACGAUAGGGGACAGCCCAGAUGGAAGUGACCGGCUCCCAGAUCUUCUCGGCCACAGACUGGAAUCCUUUCUGGUUGUUACCAGAUUCAAGAGCCAGAUCCCAAAAUUAAAGAAUGGAGAUAUUCUGUUCCUGCUAAAACUUUCCACAGAACAGCUCUAGAACACGAAGCUCCUGCUAUUCUAUUUAAUGUACCCAUAUGUAAAUGUAUCCUAGAGGGGUGGGAGUAGACACUGAUGAGGGCCAGCCAUGGCUCUUACAGAGCUUGCUAUGAUCCUGUGGAACUCAGUCUACACAGCCUAGUUGUAUCUCAGCUCCUACCCUAGCUCCAUAGACCCUGUGUUGAGUGGAUGGAUGUAAGGGCCAAGAAGAUGGCUCAUCAGGUAGGGUGCUUACUGCACAAGCACAAGGACCUGAUCUCAGAACCCCAGCACCCAAGGUCAUGGGUAAAAGACGCUCCGCAAACAUGGCAGAUGUGGGGAAAAAGUGUAGCAAGAAUUAGCUCCUUGUUGGAUGCCGCCAGCUUCACACUGGAGUCAUGCCUGUGAGUAGAAGUCAAGAGUGUGGAAAAGCCCUCUGAGAAAAGGCAGACUCUGCUCCCUCUGCACCCAGGAUUCCAAGGGGAGAAGCCCGGCCCGCUAGCACAUGCUCACAGGUGAUGGUGUAGCUGCUUGGCCUUCCCAGGUGAGUGAGUCUCCCUCCCUCUGUGGCCUCUGCUUCUUCAGUCCUGGGCCAGCAGCUUCUGUGAGCCCAAAUCGC